AUUGAACGCUGGCGGCAUGCCUUACACAUGCAAGUCGAACGGUAACAGAUCUUCGGAUGCUGACGAGUGGCGAACGGGUGAGUAAUACAUCGGAACGUGCCUAGUAGUGGGGGAUAACUACUCGAAAGAGUGGCUAAUACCGCAUGAGAUCUCCGGAUGAAAGCAGGGGAUCGCAAGACCUUGUGCUACUAGAGCGGCCGAGGGCAGAUUGGGUAGUUGGAGGGAUAAAAGCUUACCAAGCCGUGGAUCUGUAGCUGGUCUGAGAGGACGAUCGGCCCAAAUGGGAUUUAGUCACGGCCCGGACUCCUACGGGAGGCAGCAGUGGGGAAUUUUGGAGAAUGGGCGCAAGCCUGAUCCAGCAAUGCCGCGUGCAGGAUGAAGGCCUUCGGGUUGUAAACUGCUUUUGUACGGAACGAAAAGCCCCGGGUUAAUACCCUGGGGUCAUGACGGUACCUUAAGAAUAAGCACCGGCUAACUACGUGCCAGCAGCCGCCAGUAA
rnacentral:rRNA from 1 species